UGAUACAGGGCAAGCUUUGCAUAUUCUGUUGAUUCCUCUCAGAAGUCUGACACAGGGCAAGCUUGCAUAUCUGCUGAUGCUCUAAGAGUCUGACACAGGGCAAGCUUGCAUAUCUCUGCUGAUGCUCUAAGAGUCUGACACAGGGCAAGCUUGCAUAUCUCUGCUGAUGCUCUAAGAGUCUGGGAACAAC
rnacentral:lncRNA from 1 species